rnacentral:lncRNA from 1 species
UCAGCACAAAGAGGCAACCUCAAGGACCCAAACCAGGGUUCAUGGUUGAAGGUGCUACAUUGGAAACUGUUACUCCCAUACCAUAUGACGUGGUCAACGAUUUGAAGGGAGGCUAUUGAUUUUACUUUGUUUCUGAGCUUGUUUUUUUCUCCCUAUGUGCUGUUAUGACGUUGAGACUACUAGUUUGUUACUCCCAUACCAUAUGACGUGGUCAACGAUUUGAAGGGAGGCUAUUGAUUUUACUUUGUUUCUGAGCUUGUUUUUUUCUCCCUAUGUGCUGUUAUGAAGUUGAGACUACUAGUUAUUCUCGGCAUCAGUUGCAAAUUUGCAUUUUAAUUCCAAAUUUUGUUUACAAUUUUAGUAGUAAUGGUGGUGAAGAAUAUCUAUUUACUGCCUAAUUUGUUAAGUUGAGUUUGCCAAUAUUUUGGUGUUUCAGCAU